UACGGAGGGUGCAAGCGUUGUUCGGAAUUAUUGGGCGUAAAGCGCGUGUAGGCGGUUCGCUAAGUCUGGUGUGAAAGCCCGGGGCUUAACUCCGGAAGUGCACUGGAUACUGGCGAACUAGAGGACGAGAGAGGAGAGUGGAAUUCCUGGUGUAGGGGUGAAAUCCGUAGAUAUCAGGAGGAACAUCAGUGGCGAAGGCGGCCCUCUGGCUCGUAUCUGACGCUGAGACGCGAAAGCGUGGGGAGCAAACAGG
rnacentral:rRNA from 1 species